AGAACGAACGCUGGCGGCAUGCCUAAUACAUGCAAGUCGAACGAACUCUUCGGAGUUAGUGGCGCACGGGUGCGUAACGCGUGGGAAUCUGCCCCUUGGUUCGGAAUAACAGUUGGAAACGACUGCUAAUACCGGAUGAUGACGAAAGUCCAAAGAUUUAUCGCCAAGGGAUGAGCCCGCGUAGGAUUAGCUAGUUGGUGAGGUAAAGGCUCACCAAGGCAACGAUCCUUAGCUGGUCUGAGAGGAUGAUCAGCCACACUGGGACUGAGACCACGGGCCCAGACCUACCGUACGGGAGGCACGGCAAGGUAGGGGAAUACGUUAGGACGAAUAGGGACGAAAAGCCCUAGAUCCAGGCAAUAGGCCGCGUAGAGUGGAAUGGAAGGUCCGUUUAGGGUUAGUAAAACGGUCC
rnacentral:rRNA from 1 species